UAAAAUAAUAGAAAGUAUAAUUCUGAAUUAGUUCAAAGUAAUUAUAAUUAGAGGAGUAACUUCCUUUCAAAUUUUGUGAAAGAGCAUCUUUUAUUUUUUCUGGUGCUGAAAUGACCUAGAAAGAAUAAAACCAGGAAGGUUUGUAAAUGUGAGAAUAUUCCUUUCAAUAUUGGAAAUUAUAUAUGGAGAUAAAAGCUUUUGAGCUCCUACUAUGGAAUUUGAUAGGACCACAAAAGUUGAUCUAAUCAGUCCUUCUGCUUUCAGGAAGGAUUAUCUCAACAAUCUCUCAAGAUCUAUGGUUGUAUAUUUUAUUUAUGAAGAUAAUGAAAGUGAGACUUGGGUGAGGGCAGGGAUAGGAGCUCUGGAAGGUUCACAUAAUAAUUUCUAAGGUUUAGAGUUUAGAUAAGAGCUACUUAUUCAAUGUGAUUAUUCUAACCUCUACUAGUUAUCUCUGCUAAUUAGAUAUCUGAUAGCUGAGACAAUAUUUUUCCUUUUCCUUUUCCUAGAGAUUUAUCCUGCAAUAAAAUACAGGCUAUUGAAAGACUUACAUUUGAAUCACUACCUUUUCUGCAGUUUAUAAAUCUUGGUUGCAAUCUAAUUACAGAACUGAGCUUUGGAACAUUUCAGGCCUGGCAUGGAAUGCAGUUCUUACACACAUUAAACCUCAGUCAUAAUCCUCUGACAACUGUUGAAGAUUCUUACUUUUUCAAAUUGAGAGCAUUAAAAUAUUUAGACAUGGGAAAAACCCAAGUGACACUUAAAACAGUUGAGAGCAUCGUCAUGAUGAGCCCCAAGUUAGAAAAACUGUAAGUUGGUUUUUCUUAUAUUUAUUUUCAUUUAGUUGAUUUUUUAAAGUUUCAUUAUUUUACUAAGUCAGGCUUAUUGAAGUGUGAUUUUCAUGUAAUCAAAUUUGCUUUCUAAGAGUACAGUUUGAUGGAUUUUAACAACUGUAUAGUUAUGUAACCACCACCAUUUGAAAUGCAGAACUCGUGUGACUCCAGAAAGGCCCCUCAUGGCGGUUUGCAGGCAAACCCCUUCUCCCAUCACCAGCCCCCCGGCCACCACCAGUCUGAUUUUCAUCUCUGCAGUUUUUGCCAUUUCCAGAAGGUCUUCUCAAUGAACUCAUAUCGCAUGUAACCUGUUGUGUUGGCUCUUUUUACUUAGCAUAAUCUUUUUGCGGGUCAUCCAUGUUGUCACAGCUGUCCCUCCUUUUUACUGCUGAGUAGAGUUCCAUACCAGUCAUCAAUUAAUGAACAUUUGAGUUGUUUC